GACGAACGCUGGCGGCGUGCUUAACACAUGCAAGUCGAACGGAAAGGCCCUGCUUUUGUGGGGUGCUCGAGUGGCGAACGGGUGAGUAACACGUGAGUAACCUGCCCUUGACUUUGGGAUAACUUCAGGAAACUGGGGCUAAUACCGGAUAGGAGCUCCUGCUGCAUGGUGGGGGUUGGAAAGUUUCGGCGGUUGGGGAUGGACUCGCGGCUUAUCAGCUUGUUGGUGGGGUAGCGGCUUACCAAGGCUUUGACGGGUAGCCGGCCUGAGAGGGUGACCGGCCACAUUGGGACUGAGAUACGGCCCAGGCUCCUACGGGAGGCAGCAGUGGGGAAUAUUGCACAAUGGGCGGAAGCCUGAUGCAGCAACGCCGCGUGCGGGAUGACGGCCUUCGGGUUGUAAACCGCUUUCGCCUGUGACGAAGCGUGAGUGACGGUAAUGGGUAAAGAAGCACCGGCUAACUACGUG
rnacentral:rRNA from 1 species